rnacentral:rRNA from 1 species
UACGGGGGGGGGAAGCGUUGUUCGGAAUUACUGGGCGUAAAGGGCUCGUAGGCGGCCAACUAAGUCAGACGUGAAAUCCCUCGGCUUAACCGGGGAACUGCGUCUGAUACUGGAUGGCUUGAGUCCGGGAGAGGGAUGCGGAAUUCCAGGUGUAGCGGUGAAAUGCGUAGAUAUCUGGAGGAACACCGGUGGCGAAGGCGGCAUCCUGGACCGGCACUGACGCUGAUGAGCGAAAGCCAGGGGAGCAAACGGG